AGAGUUUGAUCCUGGCUCAGGACGAACGCUGGCGGCGUGCUUAACACAUGCAAGUCGAACGAUGAACCACUUCGGUGGGGAUUAGUGGCGAACGGGUGAGUAACACGUGGGCAAUCUGCCCUGCACUCUGGGACAAGCCCUGGAAACGGGGUCUAAUACCGGAUACAACCACUAGGGGCAUCUCUUGGUGGUGGAAAGCUCCGGCGGUGCAGGAUGAGCCCGCGGCCUAUCAGCUUGUUGGUGAGGUAAUGGCUCACCAAGGCGACGACGGGUAGCCGGCCUGAGAGGGCGACCGGCCACACUGGGACUGAGACACGGCCCAGACUCCUACGGAGGCAGCAUGGGGAAUAUUGCACAAUGGGCGAAAGCCUGAUGCAGCGACGCCGCGUGAGGGAUGACGGCCUUCGGGUUGUAAACCUCUUUCAGCAGGGAAGAAGCGAAAGUGACGGUACCUGCAGAAGAAGCGCCGGCUAACUACGUGCCAGCAGCCGCGGUAAUACGUAGGGCGCGAGCGUUGUCCGGAAUUAUUGGGCGUAAAGAGCUCGUAGGCGGCUUGUCACGUCGGUUGUGAAAGCCCGGGGCUUAACCCCGGGUCUGCAGUCGAUACGGGCAGGCUAGAGUUCGGUAGGGGAGAUCGGAAUUCCUGGUGUAGCGGUGAAAUGCGCAGAUAUCAGGAGGAACACCGGUGGCGAAGGCGGAUCUCUGGGCCGAUACUGACGCUGAGGAGCGAAAGCGUGGGGAGCGAACAGGAUUAGAUACCCUGGUAGUCCACGCCGUAAACGGUGGGCACUAGGUGUGGGCAACAUUCCACGUUGUCCGUGCCGCAGCUAACGCAUUAAGUGCCCCGCCUGGGGAGUACGGCCGCAAGGCUAAAACUCAAAGGAAUUGACGGGGGCCCGCACAAGCGGCGGAGCAUGUGGCUUAAUUCGACGCAACGCGAAGAACCUUACCAAGGCUUGACAUACACC
rnacentral:rRNA from 1 species